rnacentral:lncRNA from 1 species
UGUGAUUUUAUUUCAAAACCAAAUUGAAUUGCGACUCUUUUCAGGAUUCAAAGUUAGUGUUACUCUAAAAAGCAAUAAAACCAGCUGAAUUUCAUAACACAAUCCAACAAGUGCACCUUGUACCAAAUCAAUAUCACAUAAACAACAUUGUGCCAAACAAACACUACGGAAUUCACCAUGGAUACUGUAACCAGUGACCAAUGUAAACCAGGAAAAUACGCAAGCAAUGCAGAAUAAAGAACACUUGUAACACCCCCAGAAAAGGUAGAAUAAAGAACACAGUUUUAAAUAUUAACAGCUCACAAACAUUAGAGCUCAUUUGACUCUUGGGUUCACACUGAACUUUAAGAGUCUCCACUGAGAGUGUGUUAGAGCAUGACCAAAUAGCAAUAUCCCCUAACUGGAAAAAGAAAUCCAACAAUAAUAACAGACAAAUCACGACAAAACUCACAUCAAAAAACAGGAAAAUAUGGUGGAUACAGUAAUAAAACAAACAAUUAGAAAUAAUAUGGACCUAAAAGUUGAAGAUUCACCCCAUUCACAGUAUUUCAUAACCUGUGUGGAGAUAUAGAGAGGAUAACAUCCUACGCCAACCAAACAAAAGUUACAAAACAGCACCCUCAAUUGCGUAGUACUACUGUUUUCAGCUAGCUAAAGGAGACCUUUAAAAAUUCAAAAUAAACAACCAUUCUUACAAUUUCAUUGAACUCUCAAGUUCACACCAAACUUUCAAGAGUCUCCAGUGAUUGUGUUCUCGGGCGUGAACAAAUACCAAUACAUGCAUAACAAAAAAUCUAGCACGAAUCAUGCCAUGAUAAAAAAACUAAAAUCCAGGAACAUACGAUGGACACAGUAAUGAAAGAAACCAUAGAAAAUCUACAUACAAGUGAAUAUUGAAUAUUGAAGAAUUAAGUGUCGUCCCAUUCUGAGUAUUUGUCACUUGUGGGAAGGUAUUCGAAUGUCUUCCCCCAACCAAACAAAAAAUCAUAAAACAUGACUUUCACUCAAUCUGUGCAUCAUUUUCAGUUAAAGGAUGCAUUCAAAGUUAAUCAGUAUCCAUAAACCAGUAGCUCUAUCAGGUAAAUUUUCAAAUAUUCAAACCAAGAUUAAAAAAAUACAUAGAUAAAUAUGAUGAAACCCUACCACUACACUUACAUGACAUGUUAUUCUGACAACAAAAAAAGAGAGGGGAAAACAAGUGAUAAAAUCACUGUAUGAUAGACAAUCAUCAAGUGAGGUUCAAUAACAAGAUCAAUAGUAAGUUCUCAACUCAAAUCAUAUGUCCCUAAAGACCAAACCUAGAUAAUUACUUGUACUCAAAAUUGGGCACAGGGGGUGCAUCAAAACUCUCAAGAAUCUUCGUUUCACUUCCAGAACCGGUGGAAGUCUCGUCUUUCUUCCCUCCACCGAACCACCCACCGAUCCACCCUGGCGCCGCCGCUGCCUCCUGCGUCGAUGGUGGCGGUGGCGGUGGCUCGUCUAUCAUGAUGGGUAAAGGCUGCUGCGCGCUGAGGAACUUGUUGAGCAUGAUACCGGCGCCCUCUAUGAGAGCGAGGAGGACGCCACCGAAGGCGGCGGAACGAGCGGAAGCGGCGAAGCCCUGGCGCAUGGAGAGGAAACCUCCGGUAGCGGCCCCGGCAACGAUGGAGUUCCAGGGGUCCUCCUUCUGGCGCGCAUAGACCAUGGUGCAGUCGAAGGCGGAGAAGAGGCCUCCCCAGACGGCAAAGCUUCCACCGACGCGGGGGGCGUUGAGGCGAACGGCUUGAGUGGCGCCGACGAAGCGAUCGCCCUUGGGAGAGUUGUAGAGACCCUUGAGAAAAUGGAAGGCAGAGCCACCCACCGCCCCCAUGCCAAACGCGCCGCCGAUGUCGUCGAGGAUGCGAUCGGGGCACGGUUCCCGGGACGUCUCUGGUGUUCCCAUGGGGUUUCGCUGUCAAUCUAGGGUUUGCUUUGGUGUUUGAGGUGAACGCGCGUGCGUGUGUUGCAGAGAUUUCUCUCUGCCUAGGGUUUGCUCUGUCGAUGAAGAAGAAAUAGAAAAGCAAUUUGUUUACUACCUUCCUUCUUCCUUACUCUAUUGCUUUCAAAGAUUUUUUGUUUUAAUUAUUAAUUUUAUCUCUUUCAAUUCUGACAUCUAAAGUUAUACUUUUUAUUUUUAAUUUUAGUCUUGUAUUAGUAAUAUUAUUAAUUUUGAUAGAAAAAUAAUUAUUGUCAUAUAUUUCAUUAAUGCACUGAAUAUAAAUUGUUUUCAGUAUUUAUAUUUGGCAUAUAAAAAUAAAUUUGUAAAAUAUAAUUUUAGUAACUUAUAAAUUAUAAGUUAUCUAAAAAAUUAUAAUAAUAAAAUAUAUUUAAAAAAUUAUUAAAUCAUAAAAAAUAAUAUUUCGUAGCAUUGAUGUAUUGUUUUUUAUAAAAAAAUGUUUAACACUUAUUCUUAUCUAUGAUUCACAUUAAUAAAAUAUUAUUAUAAAACCAGACGAAAAGUAGAGAAAGUAGAGAUGCAAUGCAAGUUUUAAUCUAUUCUAACAUCCUUGUAUUCGAUUCCAAUUUGCAUGUAUUCAGUUCCACGUUGAAACGUAUUUGAAUCAAAUCCACUUAGCUGCCAUCUCAUCGAGCAACCCAACAUGUCCACAUAAGAUUUUUACGAUGUUUCUUUUCUAACUCAAAAUGUUGAUAAUCAAAAAAUAAAAUACAAUGUAAUUAUCGAAUAUUGUAUUAUAUUUAUAAAUUUUGAGUGUUGAAUUGUCAGAGUGAUUUUGUACCUAACUUCUUAUUAAAUUUGAUUUUAUAUAAAAAAAAUUGUUUUAUUUUAAAAUGAUUUAAUCAUAAAAUUCGGUAUUGUUUUUCAUUAUGCUUUACAAAAGUUGUUUCCGUUUUUCAACUCAAAUAAAUUUGAACAUAUUAUUUUUCUUAACCUAAGACCAAACACAUCAAAACAUAUACCAAACCAAAAAUAUCAUUAGUUGUGGAUUUUUUCAUCAUUAUAAUACUUUUUACCAAUAAUAAAUUUGAAAAAGUAGUUAUUAAAAUAAUAAAAGAAUAAAUAAUCAUUUUAUAAUGAGAAAAUAUUUGAAUAAACAAAAUUUGUCACUAAAAUGAUAAAAAUAUGUUUUUUUUACUAUAAAAAAUAUUUAAAUUUUAAAAAUAGUAAUGAAGGUAAAAUUAGAAAAACAAAGUGAUGUGUAUCCUUAUUAUAUGUAGAAUAAUAUAGAUAUAUAAGCUAGCGAAAACUAAGUCUUGUUGCAUGUGUGUAUCUCCAUUUUUUAAAUAUUUAUAUUAUAAGGUUUAAUGUCUCAAUAAGUUCCUAUUUUGGUCCAGAAUCUUAAAUAGGUCUCUUUCUUUUUCGGCGUCUCAAUUAAGUCCUUAUUUUCUUAAAGUUAAAUCAAACAGGACCUUUCUGUCAAAUUAAGAAGACGUCCUUAUGAAGGAUAUGUUAACCGUGUAGUUUUUUUAUUAAGUGACAUUGAAAAGGUGACUGAAUUGUAUUUUUUUAAUUUUUGAAUUAAAAAAUGAAGUAUACUCUGUAUAUUUCAUUUUUUAAUUCAAAAAUUCAAAAAUUACAUUUCAGUCACAUUUUUAAUUGCAUAUAAUAAAAAAUUAUAUUGUCAGCAUACCCUUCCUUACGACGUCAUCUCAAUUUAACGGAAAGGUCUUAUUUAAUUGAAUUUUAAUAAAAUAAGGACUUAAUUGAGACCAAAAAAAAAAAAAGACCUGAGAUUCUGGGCGAAAAUAGAGAUUUAUUGAAAUAUUAAACCAUAUUAUAACAAAAAACAAAUGAUAUUUGGUUAUAAUUAAGAACUCAAUAUUUUGAUAAAUAAAGUAUAAAAUAUUGUUUAUUUUUUCCUAUUAGGAGUUUCAAUUAUUUUAUCACUAUCACGCUAUUUUGCCAUCACAAAAUUUAUUUUUAUGUCUUAUUUGUUAAUUUAUACAGUACAAUCUUUAAUAUACUUAUUACUAUUGAACUGGAUAUUGGAUUGACAAAUCUCUUUAAAAAAAAAUUAAUUUUAUCGUGAAUUCGUACUUAUAGUAUUUACACAAUUGAAAUAACAAUUAGAUAAUGUCUAUAUAUUACCUGACUUGUAUGAAAAAGUUGUAAUCAUAUUACUCGUAUAAAAAAAUCAUAAAUUUUUUCAACUUUCAAAUAUUUACGAAUAUUUUAUAAGUUUUUAAAUGAAUAAAUUAAAUUACAAAACAAAAAAAAAAAUAAACAAAAUUAUAAUUAAGUUUUAAAUAAUUAUUAGAGUGAGAAUAAUGUCACAUAAAAGCAUAAACAAGUUUCAAACACCAAAUGGUAGAAUUUUGAAAAAAAUAAAUUUGAAAACAAAGUCCAAAUGUCGGAUAGGUAGAGAUACUUGAACAUGUGACUUUCCAAUUUCUAUACGAUAUUAUGAAUGAGUUUGAUAGGGAAGUCCAUGGGUCUGCAUCUUUUUCAAUUUUUAUAUCAUCUAAUGAAUGAAUUUGAUAGAAAACCAAAGAUAUGUACGAAUAUCCUAAUAAAUUCAAACAUUUAUAUAUUUAAAUAUUAAAAUAAUAUCAUUUUUUUUUCUGAAAUAUCUUUAAUUGAUUGAGAGUGUUUUCUUAUAUACUACUAAUAAAAGAUAUAUCUUUCGAUAAAACUUCAACCACUUAAACCUAAUAAAAAUAAAAAUAUAAUUUAAUUUCCUUGACAUAAAAGAUAUUCACAAAUACACAUGGGAUGACACCUGAACUGACCCAUUACAAAUAAACAUCUACAACAAUACAUGUCUUAGUGUGAAUGUGUUAUAGUAUAUUUAAUUGAGCAUAAUAUAUAAUUGAAAAAUAACGCUAAUCUGUUGUGAUAUAUUUAAUUAAGAUUAAUAUAAUUGAACUAUAAUUAUAUUGAAUAUUAUUGAAAUCAUAAAAUAUGUAUAAUAAAUUAAUUAAAGUUAAACAAAAAGAAAACAAAUAGCAUUAAUUAUAUUUUUAAGGAACAAUAAAGUCCAUUAAUAUUUAAAGAAGAUAAUAUAAUAAUCUGUUCGUUUACAUAUGUUUUCAAUAAACAAUAAAUAUCUGACGAAAAAAUCACACAAUAAAUUAAUGUGUUUAAAUAUUACCAUAAUUGAUAAUAUAAAUAUCAUAUAAUAAGAGGAAAAAUAUGAAUUUCAUAUCCAAUUAACAAAUAUAUAAAAAUGCAAUCAACAAAAUAAAAUUGAAACAGUGACGAUAUUCAAUGGAUAAUAAAAGCAUUUAAUAACAAAUUCAAUGGAUAUCCAAUUUUUAUUUGUGAUUAAGUAUAAAUAAUAUAAUGUUUAAAUAAUAUGAUUUAAUAAAACUUUUUAAAUAUAAAUUUUGAAUAUUAUCGAGAAAAUAAAGAGAUUUACUAACAAGAUUAAUUAUUUGACAAGUAUAUUGAAU